GAGGCCACAACAGUGAGAGCCCCACGUACCACAAAAAAAAAACCAAACCAAACAAAAACAGAAAAAAACAAACAAAAAAAAUCCAUUUAAAAUAGAUGUACGUCUAUUAAAAAUAGAUUAUACGUGACAUGAUACUCUAUAUAGAAAUUGCUGAAGGCAACACCCAAAAACAAAUAGAAUUCAUUGGGAAAUUUAGUUAAGUUGCAGGAUACAAAAUUAACCUACAGAAGUCAGUUGAGGCCUCAGAGAGAUGGAGAGGGAGGAAGGGGAAGAGGGCCAGUUAUGCUUACACCUAACUCUCACCCUGACUACACUCACCACUUACAUUCAACAUGGUCUAGGAAGUCCUGGCCAUAAUAAUUAAAUGGAAAAAAAAAAAAAGAGGAAUCCAAUGGCAGAGGAAAAAGUUAAACUGUCACUCUUUGUAGAUGCCCUGUUACUCCGUAUAGGAAAUGGUGAAGGUGACACCUAAAAACAAAUAGAACUCAUCAGAAAACUCAGUUUAAGUUGCAGGAUACAAAAUUAAUCUACAGAAAUCGAUUGCAUUUCUAUACACUCACAAAAAACUAUCAGAAUGAGAAAUUAAGUAAACAACCCCAUUGACAAUGACAUUAACAAAAAUGAAAUACCUAGGAGUACAUCUAACCCAGGAGGUAAAAGAGCCAUACUCAGAAAACUGGAAGACAUUGAUGAAAGAACAUGGAGAUGACACAAACAAAUGGAAAGAUAUACUGUGCUCAUUGAUCAGAAGAAUUUGUAUUGGUAAAACGAUUCCACACCCCCAAGGCAAUCCAGAGAUUCAAUGCCAUUCCUUUCAAAAUAUCAAUGGAUUUUUCUCAGAGGACUACAAAAAAGAAUUCCAAAAUGUGUAUGGAAACAAAAAAGAACCUAAAUAGUCAAUACAAUCUUAAGAAAGAAGGACAAACUUGGACAUACCAUGCUGCCUGAUUUCAAAAUAUACUAGAAACCUAGACUCAUCAAGACAGUAUUACUUACUUACUUACAAGUAAGUAUUACUUACUUUUAUUCGCACAAAAGUAAGUAAUACACAUAGAUCUAUGGAACGAAACUGAGAGCCCAGAAAGAAACCCAUGCUUAUAUGGUCAAUUCAUCUAUGACAAAGGAGGUGAGAAGACACAAUGGGGAAAAGAUAGCCUCUUUAAUAAAUGGUGUUGGGAAAACCUGACAGCUACAUGCACAAGAGUCACACUGGAUUCCUUUCUCAUACCAUCUACAAAAACAACCUUAAAAUAAAUCAUAUACUUCAAUGUAAAACCUGAAGCCAUAAAACUCCUAGAAGAAAACAUAGGCAGUAUGCUCUUUCACAUCAGUCUUAGCAAUAUUUUUUUAUUGUUCUUCUCAAACAAGGGAAAGAAAAGUAAAAUAAACCAAUGGGACUCCAUCCAACUGAAAAGGUUUUCAACGGCAAAGGUAACCAUCCACAAAACAAAAAGGCAGCAUACUGAAUGUGAGAAAAUAUUUGCAAACAAUGUAUCUGAUAAGGGGUUCAUAUCCAAAACAGACCAAGAACUCACAGAACUCAACCUCCAAGAAACAAAAACCGUAACCCAAACCCUGACCCCUAACCCUAAACCAAACCCUGACUCUAAAUCUAACUAUAUAUAUAUAUAUAUAUAUACAUGCAUACAUUCAUACACAUACCUACACACAUGAGAGACAGAGGAAGAGAGAGAGACAGAAACAUAGAAAGGCAGCAAGAGAGCAAGAGAACACAAGAGAGAGGAAAUGAGUAAAAGACACAGACUUUUCCUAAAUCCAUCCAUAGGCUAGAACCAAUCACAGUGUCCAUCCAUUCUGGAGGGGUGGGGAUUUAUACAAGGAUAUGUGACCAGGAGGCUAGACUGCUGGGAGCCAUUGUAGAGGCAGCCCACCCCGGAGGCCAAGAGGAGACACUUGAACCAGGAGAACCUGGAAGAUUGUAAACCAGAGGGGGCAAUGUGUGAAUUUUAUUUACUUUCAAUCCUCCCACAGGGGGACUGGGAAAUAGGCAGGAAGGGGAGUGACUUUCUCUAGGUCCCAGAGCAGACCUAGGCCUGUUUCAGUUGUAUUCUGUGCUACACCAGCCCUUUAUGGAAUACUUCCUUUGUUCAGUCUGUGCAUGAGCUCCAUGUGAUACCAGCCCAUGGUUUUUACAGGCACUGUAAGUGUUUAUAGGUCUAUACACCUGAUGACUUCCCUAGAAUGUUGCCAGAAUGGCUGCCACUAUGCAGAUGGGGAGACUAGGGUGGGCCUGAGAGGCCCAUGGCAUUUGUCCAGGGUCACAUCAUGGGUGAGGAGGAAAAACUGGGUCGGAAACCAGCUGUGUCAACAGAGCUGGACCCUAGCCACACCCAAGCCGCCCCACGGCUGCAGGUCAGGCUAGGUUGAUGUCACAGCGUGUGGACAUGGCACGGGGUGCAGAGGUGCCCUUGGGGAGCUUUGUAUAAGGAAAAAGCCUGGGCAAGGGGACCCCAGGCAGUGACCUCACAUCCCUGGCAAUAGAGCCCAACAGAACAUGGAACCUGGGUAACCAGGCAUCCACAUCCUAGAGGAGCCCCAUAACCAGCUCAUGUGGUUGGAAACAUGAUUUUCUGUGUCCCAAUAUCCCAAGGCCAUAGCCUCAGGAAAGGUCUCAGUGCCAGCGUCUUCCAAUGCUGUCGACAUUGGGUCAGGUCCCACCCCAGAUGCCGUUGACUCUUUGCCCAGAGGGACCCAAAGGUAAGCCAGGGAGGCCCCGAGCAGGCCACCCAAGCCAGGCCACAACUCUGAUUCCACUCGGGUAGCCCUCUGUCUCUUCCCUGGAUGUAUGGAGGUGGGGGCUUCUGUGGGGUGGGUCUGCCUCAAGCAAGAACAGGCCAAUGAGGAGUCAGAAACCUAGUGGGCUGGUCAUGUCUACACUCCAAGUCCAAGAUGGCUGGACAGGAUGGGAAGAGAGAGCCCAGACAGCGCCUUUCUGCCUGAGGGUUGUUCUAAGCCCUCUAGGUGGAUCUCUUUCCUCCCGGCUAGAUAUGUGAGCAGACACAGGUCUGUGCCUGAUCUGGGAGCAGAAGGUCGAGUGGGCAGAAGAAGCAGCGAUAAUGGCCGGGCGAUGCCCUGAUCCCGCCAGGCUGGGCUGGCUGCUGGUCACUGUCAUUGCAAAGCCCCCCAUAGGAGAUCGGCAAGGAGUUCCAAUUAGGACACCUGAUCCAGCUCCCCAAGUGAGGAGCUGAGGCGUGCCACACUGCCAGUAAGGGCUCACACAGCUUCCAUGUGAGUGUGGCCAUGGAGGGUCCUCCAGCACCACAGCCCAGAGGUCAACGGGGAGGGCCUCCUGUCCAGACACCUCCCACAGUGUCCAGAAGUCCCAGGCUUCCACAGGGCUGGAGCACCGUGUCAACCUUCCCCUGAGUCAGCUGGAGGAUCUGGAGCCCACCAAGGCAGAGCACAAAGGUGCAGCUGGAGACCCAGUGCCAGAUGAUGAUUUGCCAACUGGGAAGGGAGAACAUGUACCUGCUUUUGCAGGAGACCGAGAUCCAGAUGGUGGUUUACCACCUCUGUAGAGAGGACCUUCAACUGCUUUUGCAGGAGACCCAGAGCCUGAUCAAAAUUCACCACCCCUGCAGAGCCUGCACUGCUUCCUGCAGGAGACCCAGAGCUAUUUCAGAAAUCAUCAUCCCCACAAGCAAAGCCACCUCUGCCACCAUCAUUGCUGUCAGCUCCCAAUCUACACCAUCAACCUGCUCCCCCACCUGAAAUUUACUUUCCUUCCCUGUAUUUGUUUGUGUUUGGGUCUUUUUAAAUUUUAUAUUUAGUUUUAUCUAUUCUUCCACAUUUUUAUGGCAUACUCUACUUAAGUGUAAAGUAAUAAAAUUUAAAUAUCAACAUUUUCUAUUUUCAGUUGCAGUUCAGGAGCAUUAAGUACAUUCACAAUGCAGUAUAACCAUCACCACUUUCUAGUUGAAGACUGUUUCAUUCCCCAAAGUAAAACCCUGUAUCCCAAGCAUGCACUCCCCAUUCUUCCCUCCCGCAGCCUCUCACACCCCUAAUCCUUUCUCUGCUUCUUUACUUCUUCUGGAUGUUUCCUACAAUGAAACCAUACAAAAGUUGGC